UUUCUGUCCAGAAGUAUCGAGUCCAAACUCCGCCACCGCUUCGCCGCCCAUUGCGCAUAUAAAAGGACCCCCGGCGGGCUCUAGCCUCAUCUUCUUCCCAUCCCCAUCUGGCCAUCUCCUCUUCGCGGAAGCCAUGCGGAGGCAACGAGACUGCGGAGGAGCACCGCUGCGGCGCCGUCCCGCUUCUGCCGUCGCGGCCAUCUCCACGACGCUGUGGCAAACCUCCUCUCGGAGCUCCACGUUGAAGGCCGGGCCGAGCUGCCGCUGCCUGGGUCCCCCGUGUGCGCCGCCCGCAUCCUGUUCACUGCUGCAGUGCUGCCAUCGGCGUGCUUCGCGCUACCCUCCACCACACUCCCGGUUGGCACCGUGCCGCCAACGAUGAUCCCAUGGUGAUGACGACAUGCAGCCUAUCCCUGCUGCGCUGGAGGUCGUCCAUCCUCCACCCUCUACCGGGGACGAGGUACGCCGCGGUGCAUUCAUCCAUGCUUUCACCCCUUCCGACCCAUCUCGGACGGCGCCGCACUGUGGUACCAGCCAGUCGCGACGAGACCGGUAACGCCUCCGCGUGCGGGCAGCCCACUUUCAAGGCCCGGUUGCAGUUCGCCGCAUGGCGCCAUCACCGAGCGUACGUGCUCUCCGUCAACAAGAGCACGGACCACAGCACGUACACUAUGCCACUGCUCUCUUUGUCCUUCAAGAUUAGCUGCAUGAUUAUCCGGCAAAAACGAGUCAUGUACUCACGGGCUGCACUGAUCUGAAGGACAGACUGUCGUUUGCGGGCCGUGUGCUGUUUGCUAGCUGCUUCCACCAGGUGUGAGAGAUCAAUAGAGAUCGAGACGGCGUACAGCAAUCAAAAUAAAUUCGGUUCUCUCUCUCUCUCUCUCCUUUUGCUUUUUGAUGUAUUUCUUUGGUACGUGUUCAUGCAUGCAGCUCAGCUGACGUGCUACUCUGUUUGAGUUCUCUUCUGUUUGAAGUAUGAGAGAAAUCAAAUUUCUAUGUAUAGUGAGCCUUCCAAUUUGCACUAAUUAUUUAUGCAUCUUUUGAUGUACUUGAGGUGCAGGAAUCUACAAGCAAGUUUGAUAAUGCAUCGUAUGUAGUUCAUACUAUAGAAUCUCUAAAAAGGCUUAUAUUUAUGAACGGAUGGAGUAUUAGUUCAUAACAUGCGGAGCUCAAUCUAUAAACCAAGUGUGGACAUCAUACUACAUUUAGUGUUUAAGGUUUUUGAAGAUUGAGCUUUUGUGGUUUCAUGGAUUUUCACUAUUUUGAAGAUGUGGUGACCGCAGGCACAACCACACAAUCGUAUUAUUAUUUUAGUAUUUUUUGUCUGAAGGAAUGAAAAUAGAAAUGCAAAGAAUGUUUCUGCAUAUAUUUUUUGGAAGAUGAUUUAGGCUAUCUAUCCUCAUCUGAUGAGCAUGAGAUCUUUGAUUGAACUACGCGGACAUAUAUUACGGAUAGGUUGGUGCUCUUUUUCUCUGCAUUUUUUGUGGCUCUUUAUAUUGUUUUUUGUAUUAAGCUGACAGACACAGCUCUGUUAAGCUACUUUAGGGCAUGACUGUGCGUGGUCAGUUGCCUGGGGUUCAUUCAGGGCGGCGUGUUUGCUCUGCGGCUCGCCGGCCGCUCCGUUCUUGCCGACCUGGUGGGUUUACUUAUCCUUGUGUACUUGCAGUAGAGUGUGGUCAUCUUAUUUGGUUAUUUGAUUUCGUAGGUGGCCAGCGUUUCGAUUCGGAUCAGUUUCUUAGUGGAGAUCUUGAUAGCCGCUGUCGAGAGAUUUCGUUAGGGAAGCGGCAUGUUGAUUGCACUGUUGGUUCGAUCAUUACUGCUGGUUCUUCCACGUUUGAGGGCCUUGUGUCUACUGCUCGGCCCGCCAUUACGCGAACUGCUUCAUCGGUCGUGCAGAUGGUUGACAGGUCAAUUGGUCGCCCUUCUGCUCUUCCUGCCGGUGUCCAUUUUGACCGUUAUUUAGUUGGUGCUCCGUCUGUGGUUAACCGUCCAAGAGUGGUGCCUUUCCGUGUGGCUGGUGCCUUUGGUCGGCCUACUCCUCUUGGUAAGUUCAACUUUUUUACUGUGCCUGUGCAGCUGCUGCUACUGAUAAUUUCCUUUUGUAUCUGAUUCUAUAUUGUAUACAUGGUUGGUAUUUGAGUGAUGCCUACUCGGUCCAUCUUUCCUUUUAUCUCCAUGUAGAACCAGGUGUGACACCUACUGAAGUAGCGUGCAGAAAAUGCAUGCCAUUUGGCGGCCUCAACUAAGGGCCAGUUCUUUUUUUGGCUUUUUUGGGCUUCCAGAAUAAGCUGCCCUCUACCCAGCUUAUUCUAGAAGCCAAAUCAAUUUUUUUCUUUUGAAAGCCUACUAGUCAAGUCUUAACUAUUAGGCUUCUAAAAAAAUAAUUUUGGUUGGGCUUCUAGAAUAAGCUGUGUAGGGGUAGCUUAUUUCAGCUUAUUCUAGAAGCUAGCAAAAGAACUGGCCCUAAGCGCAGCGGUGACUCACUUACCUGUACAUGCUCUAUAUAUGACCGAUUGUACACUCACGCGCAAGAUCAGCUCAGUAUACCACAAUGGACGAAGCUUACCGCCCCAAAUAGCAUCCUCCGUAGCAAAACAAAUUAAGAAGAAGGGCAAACAUCCAUCCCUAAAUUUUGAUCAUGGGAGCGGAAGCAGCUCGGAGGAGAAUCUUAUAGUAUACAUUCCAAGACGACCAAUACUUGAAACAGUGAGUGAACAGUUGGCCUAAAAGUACAAGGCUACACCUGUUGGUAUGUUCAUGAAGGUAUGAUACAAGCGUCCGUAUUAAUUGCUCUGCCACGAUAGAGAGAUAGUUUCAGAGAAUCCUCCGUUACAUAUGAAGGAGAGGCAGCUAAUACAGAAGAUGAAGCAAUGGAAAAGGCAGCUCAGGUGGCCUUACAAUGCAUCUGUGCAAACUAUAAUAUUUCUAUCAAAGUCCAUAAUUACUACUCCUAUGCCCUUGAAGUCACAAAGGAAAGGUUGUUUACAGCAAGAGAGAAGGCUCAAACAAAGCAAUGGUGGUUCAACAUGGCCUGCCAGCAAGUAACUGCACAGCAAAACGAAACUACAAUACAAACAGUGAUUCUGGCAAAGAUAUGCAACAGCUUCUUCGAUAUAUUACCACUUCACAUAUAUCCCCAGUGCCCAGACAGCGAUGAUCCCAUUAUCACAUACAUAGGCGCGCACCCUCCCGUCGGACGUGUGCAGGAAUUUGCAAAAUCAAUUUAUCACUUUAUCACAGGCACCAAUCCUGCAGGAGGGUAUACUAGGAUGGUCUAAUCCACCAGCAACUACUUCUAGCUCAUUUAUGUAGUGUGUUUGUGUUUCUAUAUACAGUUCUCUGCCUACAGUGAACUGUAUGUAGUGUAAAUAGUUUGUUUGCCUCAGAAGUGUGCCACUUUUAAUUUGUAUC